rnacentral:rRNA from 1 species
UGAGGAAUAUUGGUCAAUGGGGGCAACCCUGAACCAGCCAAGUCGCGUGAAGGAUGAAGGUCUUAUGGAUUGUAAACUUCUUUUAUACAGGAAUAAAUUGGGGGACGUGUCCCCUUUUGCAUGUACUGUAUGAAUAAGGAUCGGCUAACUCCGUGCCAGCAGCCGCGGUAAUACGGAGGAUCCGAGCGUUAUCCGGAUUUAUUGGGUUUAAAGGGUGCGCAGGCGGGAUGUUAAGUCGGCGGUGAAAUUUUGCAGCUCAACUGUAAAAGUGCCUUCGAUACUGGCCUCCUCGAGUGUGGAUGAAGUAGGCGGAAUUUGUGGUGUAGCGGUGAAAUGCUUAGAUAUCACGAGGAACUCCGAUUGCGCAGGCAGCUUACUAAGCCACAACUGACGCUCAUGCACGAAGGCGUGGGGAUCAAA